UACUGCUGUGGUCAACACAAG
rnacentral:misc_RNA from 1 species